GGAAAUUCGUAGCUCGGUUUGCAGCUUUGCAAACUCUCUAUCAUGCUUUAUUUUUUACAUCCAAAAGCAAUUAAUUUCAUUUCUCGAAAAACCUUGGUCGUUUUUAUUCUCGAUGGGACGAACAUUUUGUGGAAAUUUUCGAGCCUCAAUGUUGGUUCAGUCUCCAUUUAAAGAAUGAAAUUAGAGCCGUGCGAGAUUUUGAAACACUGCAACCGGUAUACGAAUCAUUGCAGUUUCACAUUCAAUAUUCACGUUGAAUUUUCCAGAUACAGACAGUUUCCACUAGAGGUAGCAACACUUUUUUUAGGGAAAAAUAAUGGAAAAUGUGGAGAAAAGACCUCACGUUGCAAAACGACCAUGAUUUUACGUGAAAAAGUUUUGGGAUCACGUUUUCUGCAUUUGAAUCCCUCCAUUCCGUCAUGCAAGUCGAGCGGUGCUACAUUAUGAUUGUGUUGGUGAUUUUGCUCAUGGCAUUACAGUGUUCGACAGCUCCUGAGUCAGAACUAACACUAGAGCGGGCAAGAAGUAACUUGAAAUCUUGGCUGAAGUCGGAUCCGUGUCGUGGAGGCCGUGGAUGUGCGUGUCUUUUUCCGCCAGAACAUCGAGUGACUGAUUGCGAAUUAGGAUUCAAGUCCAUUGCCAAGCUAGCUGAGGCAAAUGCAAAGGAUAUCAACCCGUCUUGCCGGGCGUAUAAGUACGCCAACUGUCGAUUUUCAUUGUGGAGAUUGCGUUACAGAUGCACCGCCGAGGUCAAAUUCCCUUUCGUUACCAGGAACGGAGAACAGCGGACCAAACCGAUGUUGGUCGGACUCUCAGGCUGUGUAAUACGACCCCUCUUAGACCAUGGCGAGGCAUAAGACACUUCAGCUUUAACGCCCGUUGCCUAAGUGGCGUUUUAUUAGUUGCAAUCAGGUCCCAUAGGUCUUCAAAUUUUUGUCCUGAAAAAAGAAAAAUUGAAACCAUUCAGUACAUGUGGGCAAAAAAGUAGAUUAAAAUAAAAUCAAAGCAAGAAAUUCAGCUUCGUUUAACAUCUUUCUAUGUAACUAUACCCGGCGAAAGGAACUAACCCCCCCCCCCCCCUCCCCCAGGAGCCUAGGCCA
rnacentral:lncRNA from 1 species